CACACCUGCUUUGUUGGCAGCACGGAAAAGAACUUCCUCCACAAGAUGUUGGGCAGGGUCGCCUUCAGGGGUUGUUGCGAUGAACAUUUCGACCUGAGCAACUGCCUCCUCGUUGGUGAAAUACUGGUAAAGUCCAUCUGAAGAUAAUAUCAAGAAUCUAUCCCUUGUGCUGAGCUUAUGAUGAAAAAGGGAUGGAUUGCAUGAUAUGUAUGGGGAGGACCCAACGUAAUCAAUUCUGAACAUCUCCAGGAGGCAUAUUCAAAUGAACUAACCUGUUUCAAAAACCCAGCACCAAAUGCUCUGGUCACCUUCAGCGAGCCCUUCACGCGAUCCUUGGAGAUGGCAGAUGGAUCAUCAGGAUGCUCGUUUCGUAUUCUGAUUACUUCCUGAUUGAACCAUGAUAUGAGUCGAUUCAAUCACCUCUUCCACUGAAGUGCUGUGAUCCGACGUGAGCUGCACGGCCGACAAGCAUGGCGGGCAAUCCCCGACUGAUCCAUCGAAUGAACCCUGGCUGAUCUGCUCGAGAUCGACGCUGUCCAUUGUUGCCAACACAGCCCGGCUAUCGCCAACAUUCAUGAUGUACAUGUCCUCUCCUUUCAUGAGCAUGGCAAGAACACAAGAGCCCAUGAGCGCAAGCUCAGGGAACUCGCCGACCAUCUUGUCGGCGAUGUCCAGGUAAGCCUCCUCGGUCCUGUGCAGCGCACGGGUCAGCGCCUUGAGCACGGCGACGUGGUCGUUCUCGCUGUUGCAACGAAGACGCUGCUGCGUUGGUGGCUUCAGGUUGGAGCAAUCCCGCUCCUGCUCCCACUCGCACUUCCACCGCCGCUGGUCGUCGUCGGCGCCACGCGGCGGUCUUGAGCGGCGGGUGCGGCGGCGGCGACCCCACUGGUCUUGGUUAUCUGAGGCCGUGGUGCUUGGGGCUGAGCCGGGUUGGUCGGGGCGCUGGUCGUGCUGCACGUUCUGCUCCCGCUGAUCCCAGAGGAGGCCGCGGAGCUCGCGGUGGACGGCGGCGUAGAGGUUGGAUACCAGGAAGUCGGUGGCGUCGGGGCCGUUGAACCCAUCGUAGAUGCCGACGAACACCCAGCCUCGCUCCUCCGACACGACGACGUGGACGCGGUCCUCGCCGGCUUUCCCCUGCGCCCACUGCAGACCACAGGGAUCGCCCCCACAGGCGGCGACGGCGGCGGCGGCGGCGUCCGGCGAGCCUAGAUCCGCAGAAUCCUGAAACUUCUCGGUGCGCGCGAGGAGCGCGCGGGUGAAAUUGCGGAGGCGGCGGCCACCGUGGGAGAGGCUCCGGCGGAGCGCAGGGACGGCGCCACCCAUACGACCGGAGGUGGCGGUGCCAGGGAGAGGGCCCGAGAGGAGCGCGGCGUCGAAACCUCGGCACCGGCUGCAGCGGCACAGCAGCGAACGACUCCGAGCUCUCAAACCCCGACGACGCGGUGGCGGACGCCGACGACUCCUCCGGCAUCAGCAGCAGCACGGACGUGGACAGCGGCGUGGAUACGUUGGCACUGAGCGCCGCCCCGGAUAUCGCCCGGAACGGAACCACGAACUUGUCGGGGCGGACGUAGCAGAACGAGUGGCCCAGGCCCUCGUCGUAGGCCGGGUCGGAGGGGAGCGCGGCGGGGGCGACGUGGCGGCCGCCUCGGCCGCCGGCGCCGCCGCCGCAGCAGAAGCAGGCGAGGGAGUUGCCCAUGGCUGGGAAGCGUAGCGGUGGAGAUGGAGAUAGAGAGAGAGGAGGUGGGGGGAGGAG
rnacentral:sRNA from 1 species